UCCCAGACUCCUACGGGAGGCAGCAGUGAGGGAUAUUGGUCAAUGGGGGAAACCCUGAACCAGCAACGCCGCGUGAGGGAAGACGGUUUUCGGAUUGUAAACCUCUGUCCUCUGUGAAGAUAAUGACGGUAGCAGAGGAGGAAGCUCCGGCUAACUACGUGCCAGCAGCCGCGGUAAUACGUAGGGAGCAAGCGUUGUCCGGAAUCACUGGGCGUAAAGGGCGCGUAGGCGGUAAUAUAAGUCAGAUGUGAAAGGUGGGGGCUCAACCCCUAGAGUGCAACUGAUACUGUAUAACUUGAGUGUGAGAGAGGGAAGCGGAAUUCCUAGUGUAGCGGUGAAAUGCGUAGAUAUUAGGAGGAACACCAGUGGCGAAGGCGGCUUUCUGGCUCAUAACUGACGCUGAGGCGCGAAAGCGUGGGGAGCAAACAGGAUUAGAUACCCGUGUAGC
rnacentral:rRNA from 1 species